rnacentral:rRNA from 1 species
GAACGUGCCGAGUAAUGGGGGUUAACGCAGCGAAAGUUGUGCUAAUACCGCAUACGCCCUGAGGGGGAAAGUGGGGGAUCGCAAGACCUCACGUUAUUCGAGCGGCCGACGUCUGAUUAGCUAGUUGGUGGGGUAAAGGCCUACCAAGGCGACGAUCAGUAGCGGGUCUGAGAGGAUGAUCCGCCACACUGGGACUGAGACACGGCCCAGACUCCUACGGGAGGCAGCAGUGGGGAAUUUUGGACAAUGGGGGCAACCCUGAUCCAGCCAUUCCGCGUGAGUGAAGAAGGCCUUCGGGUUGUAAAGCUCUUUCAGCUGGAGUGAAACGGUGCGCUCUAACAUAGCGCGCUAAUGACGGUACCAGCAGAAGAAGCACCGGCUAACUACGUGCCAGCAGCCGCGGUAAUACGUAGGGUGCGAGCGUUAAUCGGAAUUACUGGGCGUAAAGCGUGCGCAGGCGGAUUGUUAAGCAAGAUGUGAAAUCCCCGGGCUUAACCUGGGAAUGGCAUUUUGAACUGGCAGUCUAGAGUGCGUCAGAGGGGGGUGGAAUUCCACGUGUAGCAGUGAAAUGCGUAGAGAUGUGGAGGAACACCGAUGGCGAA